UGGGGAAUCUUGGACAAUGGGGGCAACCCUGAUCCAGCCAUGCCGCGUGAGUGAUGAAGGCCUUAGGGUCGUAAAGCUCUUUCAACGGUGAAGAUGAUGACGGUAGCCGUAGAAGAAGCCCCGGCUAACUUCGUGCCAGCAGCCGCGGUAAUACGAAGGGGGCAAGCGUUGUUCGGAAUUACUGGGCGUAAAGCGCACGUAGGCGGACCAGAAAGUUGGGGUGAAAUCCCGGGGCUCAACCCCGGAACUGCCUCCAAAACUAUUGGUCUAGAGUUCGAGAGAGGUGAGUGGAAUUCCAAGUGUAGAGGUGAAAUUCGUAGAUAUUAGGUGGAACACCAGUGGCGAAGGCGCCUAACUGGUCCGGUACUGACGCUGAGGUGCGAAAGUGUGGGGAGCAAACAGGAUUAGAUACCCUGGUAGUCCACGCCGUAAACGAUGAGUGCUAGAUGUUGGGAUUUUCGGAUUUCAGUGUCGCAGCUAACGCA
rnacentral:rRNA from 1 species